GUGCUGGCUUUGGCAGCACAUAGACUAAAAUUGGAACACUACAGGGAAGAUUAGCAUGGCCCCUGCACAAGGAUGACACACAAAUUCUUGAAGUGUUCCAUAUUUUU